GGGACACAGAGCAGAUCCCCUCUGAUAUUCGGCACUGGCAUGGAUGGUGCUAAAAGCAGAGAUGGAUCCAAGCUGAAAUGUGACUGCUGGUCGAGUUUCCACCUUAGUAGCUCCUCUACUGCUGCUGUCAUGACUGCAUUGUCCACCUGAACUGCGGGGUUGGAUGUGACCUUAUGAGCAGCAGUCUGCUGGCAGACUUGUCUGCACCAGAAUCCUGACUGUAAGUGACAUCCGUGAAUGUCUUGAAAAGGACAGCUCAAAUCUCAGGUCAUGCACGAGCAUGGAGAAGCUGAUUUCCUCUUGGUUAAGUCUUGAUUGUUCAGUGCAUAGUGGUCAGAUGGAAGACAAAACGUAGUCCAAAUAUACUGAUUUGAGAAAACA